rnacentral:rRNA from 1 species
CUGCCCAAUGAGGAUUUAAAUGGCCGCAGUAUUUUGACUGUGCAAAGGUAGCAUAAUUAUUAGUUUUUUAAUUGAAAGCUUGUAUGAAGGGUUGGACGAGAUAAAAUCUGUCUUUAUUUAAAUUAAAGUAUAAUUUAACUUUUAAGUCAAAAGGCUUAAAUGUUUAUAAAAGACGAGAAGACCCUAUAGAUCUUUAUUUAGUUAAGAUUUUAAUAAUUUAGGAUUAUUUUAAUUUGGAGUCUUAAUUGAAUUUUAUUGGGGUAAUAUAAAGAUUAAAUGAAUUCUUUUUAUUUAUGACAUUAAUUUAUGAAUAUAUGAUCCAUUAAUAUUGAUUAUAAGAUUAAGUUACCUUAGGGAUAACAGCGUAAUUUUUUUGGAGAGCUCAUAUCGAUAAGAAAGUUUGCGACCUCGAUGUUGGAUUAAAAAUUAGCUUGGGUGCAGAAGCUCAAGAUUUUGGUCUGUUCGACCAUUAAAUUUUUACAUGAUCUGAGUUCAGACCGGCGUGAGCCAGGUCGGUUUCUAUCUUUAUUCAGAUAAAAUAUUUUAGUACGAAAGGACCAAGUAUUUAAUAUAAUUAUAUUUAUUUUUUGAAGAAUAUU